rnacentral:rRNA from 1 species
CAUUGACCUCGGAUCAGGUAGGAAUACCCGCUGAACUUAAGCAUAUCAAUAAGCGGAGGAAAAGAAACCAACAGGGAUUGCCUCAGUAACGGCGAGUGAAGCGGCAACAGCUCAAAUUUGAAAUCUGGCCCCGUCGGGGUCCGAGUUGUAAUUUGUAGAGAGUGCUUCGGGUGAGACCGCGGUCUAAGUCCAUUGGAACAUGGCGUCAUAGAGGGUGAGAAUCCCGUAUGCGACUGUGGCUCGAGCCCAUGUGAAGCCUCUUCGACGAGUCGAGUUGUUUGGGAAUGCAGCUCAAAAUGGGUGGUAAAUUUCAUCUAAAGCUAAAUACUGGCUGGAGACCGAUAGCGCACAAGUAGAGUGAUCGAAAGAUGAAAAGCACUUUGGAAAGAGAGUCAAACAGUACGUGAAAUUGUUGAAAGGGAAGCGCUUGCAACCAGACCUGUCCGUGGGUGAUCAGCCGCUGUUCUCAGUGGUGCACUCGCUCUGCGAUCAGGCCAGCAUCGGUUCUGGCGGUCGGAUAAAGGCCUUGGGAAUGUAGCUCCCCCCGGGGAGUCUUAUAGCCCUCGGCGCAAUGCGGCCAGCUGGGACCGAGGACCGCGCUUCGGCUAGGAUGCUGGCGUAAUGGUUGUAAGCGACCCGUCUUGAAACACGGACCAAGGAGUCUACAACUUAUGCGAGUGUUUGGGUGUUAAACCCAUACGCGGAAUGAAAGUGAACGGAGGUGAGAACCCUUAAGGGCGCAUCAUCGACCGAUCCAGAUGUCUUCGGAUGGAUUUGAGUAUGAGCAUAAUUCGUGGGACCCGAAAGAUGGUGAACUAUGCCUGAAUAGGGUGAAGCCAGAGGAAACUCUGGUGGAGGCUCGCAGCGGUUCUGACGUGCAAAUCGAUCGUCAAAUUUGGGUAUAGGGGCGAAAGACUAAUCGAACC